rnacentral:miRNA from 1 species
CUUUGCCAACCCCGCCCAUUCCAA